rnacentral:rRNA from 1 species
GACGAACGCUGGCGGCGUGCUUAACACAUGCAAGUCGAACGGAGUGGCGAACGGGUGAGUAACACGUGGGUGACCUGCCCUGCACUUCGGGAUAAGCCUGGGAAACUGGGUCUAAUACCGGAUAGUGUGGGAUGGGCCCGCGGCCUAUCAGCUUGUUGGGGGGGUAAUGGCCUACCAAGGCGGCGACGGGUAGCCGGCCUGAGAGGGUGGACGGCCACAGUGGGACGGAGACAGGGCCCAGACUCCGACGGGGGGCAGCAGGGGGGAGUAUGGCACAAUGGGGGGAGGCCUGAUGCAGCGACGCCGCGGGGGGGAGGACGGCCUUCGGGUGGGAAACUCCUUUCACCAUCGACGCGGUAGAUGGAGAAGAAGCACCGGCUAACUACGUGCCAGCAGCCGCGGUAUUUC